rnacentral:rRNA from 1 species
CCUACGGGAGGCAGCAGUGGGGAAUAUUGGACAAUGGGCGCAAGCCUGAUCCAGCCAUGCCGCGUGAGUGAUGAAGGCCCUAGGGUUGUAAAGCUCUUUCGGCGGGGACGAUAAUGACGGUACCCGCAGAAGAAGCCCCGGCUAACUUCGUGC